AGUGAACGCUGGCGGCAGGCCUAACACAUGCAAGUCGAGCGGCAGCGCGUCCGACCACCCUCGGGUGGUCGGAUGGCGGCGAGCGGCGGACGGGUGAGGAAUGCAUCGGAAUCUGCCUCGUUGUGGGGGAUAACGUAGGGAAACUUACGCUAAUACCGCAUACGACCUACGGGUGAAAGUGGGGGACCUUCGGGCCUCACGCGAUGAGAUGAGCCGAUGCCGGAUUAGCUAGUUGGCGGGGUAAAGGCCCACCAAGGCGACGAUCCGUAGCUGGUCUGAGAGGAUGAUCAGCCACACUGGAACUGAGGCACGGUCCAGACUCCUACGGGAGGCAGCAGUGGGGAAUAUUGGACAAUGGGGGCAACCCUGAUCCAGCCAUGCCGCGUGUGUGAAGAAGGCC
rnacentral:rRNA from 1 species